rnacentral:rRNA from 1 species
GAGACAUCUCCUAGUGUGAAAAACUCCGGUGGUACAGGAUGGGCCCGCGUCUGAUUAGCUGGUUGGCAGGGUAACGGCCUACCAAGGCAACGAUCAGUAGCCGGUCUGAGAGGAUGAACGGCCACAUUGGAACUGAGACACGGUCCAAACUCCUACGGGAGGCAGCAGUGGGGAAUAUUGCACAAUGGGGGAAACCCUGAUGCAGCAACGCCGCGUGAGUGAAGAAGUAUUUCGGUAUGUAAAGCUCUAUCAGCAGGGAAGAUAAUGACGGUACCUGACUAAGAAGCUCCGGCUAAAUACGUGCCAGCAGCCGCGGUAAUACGUAUGGAGCAAGCGUUAUCCGGAUUUACUGGGUGUAAAGGGUGCGUAGGUGGCAGUGCAAGUCAGAUGUGAAAGGCCGGGGCUCAACCCCGGAGCUGCAUUUGAAACUGCUCGGCUAGAGUACAGGAGAGGCAGGCGGAAUUCCUAGUGUAGCGGUGAAAUGCGUAGAUAUUAGGAGGAACACCAGUGGCGAAGGCGGCCUGCUGGACUGUUACUGACACUGAGGCACGAAAGCGUGGGGAGCAAACAGGAUUAGAUACCCUGGUAGUCCACGCCGUA